GAUGAACGCUGGCGGCGUGCCUAAUACAUGCAAGUCGAGCGAACGGACGAGAAGCUUGCUUCUCUGAUGUUAGCGGCGGACGGGUGAGUAACACGUGGAUAACCUACCUAUAAGACUGGGAUAACUUCGGAAAACCGGAGCUAAUACCGGAUAAUAUUUUGAAUCGCAUGGUUCAAAAGUGAAAGACGGUCUUGCUGUCACUUAUAGAUGGAUCCGCGCUGCAUUAGCUAGUUGGUAAGGUAACGGCUUACCAAGGCAACGAUGCAUAGCCGACCUGAGAGGGUGAUCGGCCACACUGGAACUGAGACACGGUCCAGACUCCUACGGGAGGCAGCAGUAGGGAAUCUUCCGCAAUGGGCGAAAGCCUGACGGAGCAACGCCGCGUGAGUGAUGAAGGUCUUCGGAUCGUAAAACUCUGUUAUUAGGGAAGAACAUAUGUGUAAGUAACUGUGCACAUCUUGACGGUACCUAAUCAGAAAGCCACGGCUAACUACGUG
rnacentral:rRNA from 1 species